ACACGACUACAUUAGAUACCCCUGUAGUCCUAGGCGUAAAUGAUGCGAGUUAAGUNUGGGGGCAUCUACGAGAUGGCCCUGUGCUGUAGGGUAGCCGUUAAACUCGCUGCCUGGGAGUACGGUCGCAAGGCUGAACUUAAGGAAUUGCGGGGAGCACCACAAGAGGUGGAGGCUGCGGUUCAAUUGGACUCAACGCCGGAAAACUCAUCGGGAGCGACAGCAGUAUGAUUGCCAGGUUGAUGACCUUGCUUGACAAGCUG
rnacentral:rRNA from 1 species